rnacentral:rRNA from 1 species
AGAGUUUGAUCCUGGCUCAGGAUGAACGCUAGCUACAGGCUUAACACAUGCAAGUCGAGGGGCAGCAUGGUCUUAGCUUGCUAAGGCCGAUGGCGACCGGCGCACGGGUGAGUAACGCGUAUCCAACCUGCCUUACACUCUUGGACAGCCUUCUGAAAGGGAGAUUAAUACAAGAUGUUAUCAUGAGUAAGCAUUUUCGCAUGAUUAAAGGUUUACCGGUGUAAGAUGGGGAUGCGUUCCAUUAGAUAGUAGGCGGGGUAACGGCCCACCUAGUCUUCGAUGGAUAGGGGUUCUGAGAGGAAGGUCCCCCACAUUGGAACUGAGACACGGUCCAAACUCCUACGGGAGGCAGCAGUGAGGAAUAUUGGUCAAUGGACGAGAGUCUGAACCAGCCAAGUAGCGUGAAGGAUGAAGGUUCUAUGGAUUGUAAACUUCUUUUAUACGGGAAUAAACGGAUCCACGCGUGGAUUUUUGCAUGUACCGUAUGAAUAAGGAUCGGCUAACUCCGUGCCAGCAGCCGCGGUAAUACGGAGGAUCCGAGCGUUAUCCGGAUUUAUUGGGUUUAAAGGGAGCGUAGAUGGGUUGUUAAGUCAGUUGUGAAAGUUUGCGGCUCAACCGUAAAAUUGCAAUUGAUACUGGCAGUCUUGAGUACAGUUGAGGUAGGCGGAAUUCGUGGUGUAGCGGUGAAAUGCUUAGAUAUCACGAAGAACUCCGAUUGCGAAGGCAGCUUACUAACCUGUAACUGACAUUGAUGCUCGAAAGUGUGGGUAUCAAACAGGAUUAGAUACCCUGGUAGUCCACACGGUAAACGAUGAAUACUCGCUGUAGGCGAUAUACAGUCUGCGGCCAAGCGAAAGCAUUAAGUAUUCCACCUGGGGAGUACGCCGGCAACGGUGAAACUCAAAGGAAUUGACGGGGGCCCGCACAAGCGGAGGAACAUGUGGUUUAAUUCGAUGAUACGCGAGGAACCUUACCCGGGCUUAAAUUGCAACCGAAUAUGGCGGAAACGCUAUAGCUAGCAAUAGCGGUUGUGAAGGUGCUGCAUGGUUGUCGUCAGCUCGUGCCGUGAGGUGUCGGCUUAAGUGCCAUAACGAGCGCAACCCUUGCCGAUAGUUACUAACAGGUUAUGCUGAGGACUCUGUCGGGACUGCCAUCGUAAGAUGUGAGGAAGGUGGGGAUGACGUCAAAUCAGCACGGCCCUUACGUCCGGGGCUACACACGUGUUACAAUGGGGGGUACAGAGGGCUGCUACCACGCAAGUGGAUGCCAAUCCCAAAAACCUCUCUCAGUUCGGAUUGAAGUCUGCAACCCGACUUCAUGAAGCUGGAUUCGCUAGUAAUCGCGCAUCAGCCACGGCGCGGUGAAUACGUUCCCGGGCCUUGUACACACCGCCCGUCAAGCCAUGGGAGCCGGGGGUACCUGAAGUGCGUAACCGCAAGGAGCGCCCUAGGGUAAAACUGGUGACUGGGGCUAAGUCGUAACAAGGUAGCC